GACGAACGCUGGCGGCGUGCUUAACACAUGCAAGUCGAACGGAAAGGCCCUGCUUUUGUUGGGUGCUCGAGUGGCGAACGGGUGAGUAACACGUGAGUAACCUGCCCUUGACUUUGGGAUAACUUCAGGAAACUCGGGCUAAUACCGGAUAUGAGCUCCUGCUCCAUGGUGGGGGUUGGAAAGUUUCGGCGGUUGGGGCUGGAUUCGCGGCUUAUCCGCUUGUUGGUCGGGUAGUUGCUUACGAAGGCUUUGACGGGUAGCCGGCCUGAGAGCGUGAACGGCCACAUUGGGACUGAGAUACGGCGCAGAAUCCUACGGGAGGCAGAAGGGGGGAAUAUGGCAGAAUGGGCGGAAGCCUGAUGCAGAAACGCCGCGUGCGGGAUGACGGCCUUCGGGUUGUAAACCGCUUUCGCCUGUGACGAAGAGUGAGUGACGGUAAUGGGUAAAGAAGCACCGGCUAACUACGUG
rnacentral:rRNA from 1 species